AUGGCGACGCACCUCGCCCCGCCCCACUCGGGGCUGGGCGGCUCGCGAUUGGCCAGGGGGUGGGCGCUCGCCCUCUGCCCCCUGACCCUGCGCGGCGGCGGAGGUGGAGGUAGCGGCAGCGCUUGCUGCCCGUUUCCUGCUGGCCUGGCGGCGGCUGGUGCCGCUGCUGCAGCAUUGGGCGGGCGGGAGAAUGCGGCGCAGGUCCCGGCUGCUGCUCUGCUUCGCUUUCCUCUGGGUGCUGGGCAUCGCCUACUACAUGUACUCGGGGGGAAGCGCCGCGCUCGCCGGAGGCGGCAGGAAGGAGGAUCCAAAUAAUAUUGCAAAGAAAGAUCAACGCAAUAAUAAUGUGGAUGACAAGUUCCAAAGUAUGGAAACCCUACCACCAGGUACUGAAGUAGUGCAUAUUAACUUUUAACAUAAAAUAUGGCCUGGCAGUAUUACUCAGCUAGCAAGGGUAGGGUACUUCUUUGGUAUAUGAGUCAGCUAAAAAGGAAGAUCUAGUAUGACAUGGAUUGACUCAAUGAAAGAAGCAACCGUUUUUAAUUUGCAAAACCUGAGCAAGGCUCCCAAUGAUAGAACCUUCAGGAGGUAUGUAAUUCAGAGAACAGGCAUAGUCUGAAGUAAACACCAUAUAACAUAUAAGGACAUGAUGGGGGAGAAAUUAUUUUUUAAAUUUUGAUUGAUAAAAUAUUGUGAAUACAACUUAAUGAAGCCUUUAGGCUUCACUUGUCUGUGCAUAUACCUCAUUGAAUGUAAGCAAGGUGAAGAGCUUUCUCUCGAGGAAGGCUUUCCCUAAGAGACUGGUCUGCCUGAGUGGGAUUUCAAAUGGAUUGUGGUACCUUACUGCUUUGAAUUUGUUUUGGUGUUGUUAAUGUUUUUUUUAAUAUGGUAUUUGUUUGGUCCUUUUGUACUUGUAUACUCACCAUUGUUAGUGUUAGGAGCUGUCUUUUAAUGAUGUAAACCACCUUGGGUCCAUUUUAAAGGGAAAGGUGGGGUGAAAAUAUUUUAAAUAAUUAAUAAAUAAACUCAGAGAGUAGACUUGUAUAGGAGU
rnacentral:lncRNA from 1 species